rnacentral:rRNA from 1 species
CCUACGGUGUGCUGCAGUGGGGAAUAUUGGGCAAUGGGCGCAAGCCUGACCCAGCAACGCCGCGUGAAGGAAGAAGGCUUUCGGGUUGUAAACUUCUUUUCUGCGGGACGAAGAAAGUGACGGUACCUCAGGUAUAAGCCACGGCGAACUACGUGCAAGCAGCCGCGGUAAUACGUAGGUGGCAAGCGUUAUCCGGAUUUAUUGGGGGUAAAGGGCGUGUAGGCGGGAAAGCACGUUAGAUGUGAAAACUCAGGGCUCAACCCUUAGCCUGCAUUUGAAACUGUUUUUCUUGAGUGCUGGAGAGGCAAUCGGAAUUCCGUGUGUAGCGGUGAAAUGCGUAGAUAUACGGAGGAACACCAGUGGCGAAGGCGGAUUGCUGGACAGUAACUGACGCUGAGGCGCGAAAGCGUGGGGAGCAAACAGGAUUAGAUACCCCUGUAGUC